GACGAACGCUGGCGGCGUGCUUAAUACAUGCAAGUCGAACGCAGUGGCGAACGGGUGAGUAAUACGUGGGUACCCUGCCCUCACUUUUGGGAUAAGCCUUGGAAACGGGGUCUAAUACCGACUACAGGUGGAUGGGCACGCGGGCUAUCAGCUUGCUGGUGGUGUGAUGGUCUACGAAGGCGGUGCCGGGUAGCCGGCCUGUGAGGGUGACCGGCAACAUUGGGAGUGGGAUACGGCCCAGACUCGUACGGGUGGCAGCUGUGGGGGAUAUUGCACAAUGGUCGAAGGCCUGAUGCAGCUACGCGGCGGGGGGUAUGAAGUCUUUCGGGUUGUAAGCCUCUUUCGCUAUCGAACGGGUAGGUGGAGAGAAAGCGCCGGCUAACUACGUGCCAGCAGCCGCGGUAAUAC
rnacentral:rRNA from 1 species